GAGAAGAGCUGACAAGAGCAUUGUUGGAGGCAAAGGAGGGUGGCAUAUAUGAUAAUGGAAUGGACGAUUCAACAGAAUCAUUCAACGACCUUGUGAAGGAAAUGACGUCUAAACGACCAGACAUUAAGGCUUUUGCUCUCAAGACCAAGGCCAUGCUGUCUAAAAUGGAGCGCAAGGUGCAGUUAGCCAGACAGCGUGAGUCAAUUUUCUGGCAUUUAGCUUCACAUGGCAUUCCAAAGACCCUACAUUGCCUUUGCCUCAAAUUGGCUGAGGAAUAUGCUGUAAAUGCCAUAGCCCGAUCUCGUUUACCCCAACCUGAAUAUGUGUCUCGCCUGGCAGAUCCAUCCUUUCAUCAUGUUGUUCUCAUAACUGAUAAUGUUCUUGCUGCCUCUGUUGUCAUCUCUUCUACAGUCCAAAACUCAGUCAGCCCUGAAAAAUUGGUGUUUCAUGUAAUCACUGACAAGAAAACAUACACCCCAAUGCAUGCAUGGUUUGCUAUCAAUCCUAUUAAAUCAGCGGUUGUGGAAAUUAAGGGAUUGCACCAAUAUGACUGGACAAAGGAAGUAAAUAUUGGCAUUAAAGAGAUGUUAGAGAUUCAUCGUCUUAUUUGGAGCCACUACUACACCAAUAUGAAAGAAGAUAACUUUCUACUCGACGAAGAGCGCAUGAGAAGUUUGGA
rnacentral:misc_RNA from 1 species